CCGAGGGACUGGAGAUUGGGCCGCGGUGUUCCCAGCCUGGUUUCCACAUCUCUGCCCAGUUCACGGCGGAUUCACUCCUCACGGCUUUUUUUUUUCUUCUCUGCAACGUGAGUGGCAUUGCCUCGCAGUGAUUUCCGUGGGCGUCGCUAAAGAAGGCCCUGGGAGGAGAGGAAGCCGCUCCAAACUGGCCACGCUCCAGAAGGCGUGGAAGAUUCCUCCGCGUUUCCCAUUUUAACUCGGCGUGAGCAGCGCGCUCUUCCCGAGCAUCGGUGGUCCCGGCACGUUGUGGGUGGGAUUCAUUGCCCAGACGCUCCGUGUAAUUCGCAGAGAGGAAAAACCACCGUUUUCCAGCAUUUCUCGUGGAGGAGGAGAACUAAGCGAUAGGAAAAUGUCUGUUUUUCCUAAAAUAUCUUUGAGACUUGAGGUUGAAAACUAUUUGAAAGCGGGCUUUAUGAAUGAGGAGGUUGUAUCUGCUUUAGGUAAAGAAGAAGCAGAAAGGAAGUUUGAAACUCUGUUACAUAAGUUGUCCCACCCUCCAUCAUUCACUACUGUCAGAGUAAAUACGCAUCUAGCCUCAGUACAACAUGUGAAAAAUCUGUUAUUUGAUGAGCUUCAGAAGCAGUUUAAUGGAUUAAGUUUUCCUAUUCUUCAACAUCCAGACCUUCAGGAUGUCUUACUUAUUCCUGUUAUUGGACCUAGGAAGAAUGUAAAACAACAGCCCUGUGAAGUUAUUGUUGGAGCCCAGUGUGGCAAUGCAGUCUCACGAGGAGCCCACGUCUAUGUUCCAGGAAUCGUGUCAGCCUCAAAAUUUAUGAAAGGUGGAGAUGUUGUUUCCGUGUACUCUGAUAUUAAAGGCAAAUGUAAGAAAGGAGCCAAAGAAUUUGAUGGAACAAAAAUAUUUCUUGGAAAUGGGAUUUCUGAACUAAGCCGCAAAGAGAUCUUCAGCAGGCUCCCUGAACUGAAAGGCAUAGGCGUAAGAAUGACAGACCCAGUGUAUCUGAGCCCCUCAUUUGACAACGUACUGCCUAGCUACUUAUUUUUACAAAAUUUGCCGUCUGCUGUAGUAAGUCAUGUUCUGGAUCCUCAGCCUGGAGAGAAGAUUCUAGAUUUGUGUGCGGCCCCCGGAGGCAAAACAACACACAUUGCAGCGCUGAUGCACGACCAGGGAGAAGUGAUAGCACUGGAUAAAAUAUCCAACAAAGUAGAAAAAAUAAAGCAGAAUGCGUUACUGUUAGGGCUAAAUUCCAUCAGGGCAUUUUGCUUCGAUGGAACAAAGGCCCUUAAACUUGAUAUGGUUAAGGACACAGAUGGAGAACCUCCGUUCUUACCAGAAUCUUUUGACCGAAUUCUUCUGGAUGCUCCCUGCAGUGGAAUGGGACAGAGACCAAACAUGGCUUGUACUUGGACUUUGAAGGAAGUGACAUCGUAUCAACCAUUACAGCGAAAACUCUUCACUGUGGCAGCUGAGCUGCUGAAGCCGGGGGGUGUGCUGGUGUAUAGCACGUGCACUGUCACCCUAGCAGAAAACGAAGAACAGGUCGCCUGGGCCCUCGAGACGUUUCCUCACCUUCAGCUUCAGCACCAGGACCCUCAGGUUGGAGGAGAAGGGAUGCUGGGAGCCGGCCUGUCAUCUGAACAACUGAAACGGCUGCAGCGAUUCGAUCCCUGCGUGGUGCCGUCACAGGACAGCGACACUGGUUCUCUCAGAGACGCCAGGAUAGAAGACAUGAUUUGGCUCGCAAAUAAGGACUGUAUAGGCUUUUUCAUUGCAAAAUUUGUAAAAUGCAAAAGCACCUAGGAGAAGGAUCCUUAGAGAUGAAAGUUCCAAACGUUUUACAUGUUUUUUUUUUUUUUUAAACCAAAAACUGUUGUCAGGCCACAUGAUUGAUGUCGUGGUUGCUGAGGAAACAGAAAAGGCUGCCGGCUGUCCCACCGGGAAUCAAGAGACUGUACUUCACAGAGGAGAAUUCUGUAGAUUAAAAAUGAGACUGUCGCACAGUUCGGGUACCUUUUAUCAUCUAACGGAACACAUGCAAGUUCUUCGAGAUGUGAUUGGUGAGAAAGCCAUCCUGUGAGAGCUGGGAAGUGGCCGCUCUCAGCCAAGCCUUGGUGGUCUCCCUCUGAACAGAAGCGACUCCACAACACCUUCCCCAGGCCAAGCAGCUGUGACUACAUCAAGAUGAAACAAGACCACGUCACCGUCAAACCUGAAAUCGCCCAGACUGCGCAAGUGACCAGGCGUCACCCGUGGUGGCCAGGAUAAGUGGAUGGCCUUUUUAAAAUGAACUGUAACCGUGGGCUUGCUUUUCCUCCUACCUGCUUUUUAGAUAAAAUAUAUUAAAAUACCCAGCCAUAGUUGAAAAGCUAUCUCAUGUCGUGUUAAAUACAUCUCUUUUGUUAAUUCAAAUCACCUCAACAUUCCUGAGCCUCGGGCAGUUGCCUAACGGUUUUUUUUUUUUCCUUCAUAGGUCUCGGUCUCCAUUAGGAAUUUCUUGCAACUUCCUUGGAUCCGUGAAGAAUGCUCAUCUCACCUCGGAUCAGCAUGACUCUUGACGUGUUAGUGAGAUUAUCCAGGGCUAGCAGCAUCGUGUCACCGAGCAAAGG